GUUAACGAGGCGAACCGGGGGAACUGAAACAUCUAAGUACCCCGAGGAAAAGAAAUCAACCGAGAUUCCCCCAGUAGCGGCGAGCGAACGGGGAGCAGCCCAGAGUCUGAAUCAGCUUGUGUGUUAGUGGAACGGUCUGGAAAGUCCGACGGUACAGGGUGAUAGUCCCGUACACCAAAAUGCACAGGCUGUGAACUCGAAGAGUAGGGCGGGACACGUGGUAUCCUGUCUGAAUAUGGGGGGACCAUCCUCCAAGGCUAAAUACUCCUGACUGACCGAUAGUGAACCAGUACCGUGAGGGAAAGGCGAAAAGAACCCCGGCGAGGGGAGUGAAAAAGAACCUGAAACCGUGUACGUACAAGCAGUGGGAGCACCUUUAGGUGUGACUGCGUACCUUUUGUAUAAUGGGUCAGCGACUUAUAUUCUGUAGCAAGGUUAACCGUAUAGGGGAGCCGCAGGGAAACCGAGUCUUAACUGGGCGUUAAGUUGCAGGGUAUAGACCCGAAACCCGGUGAUCUAGCCAUGGGCAGGUUGAAGGUUGGGUAACACUAACUGGAGGACCGAACCGACUAAUGUUGAAAAAUUAGCGGAUGACUUGUGGCUGGGGGUGAAAGGCCAAUCAAACCGGGAGAUAGCUGGUUCUCCCCGAAAGCUAUUUAGGUAGCGCCUCGUGAACUCAUCUUCGGGGGUAGAGCACUGUUUCGGCUAGGGGGUCAUCCCGACUUACCAACCCGAUGCAAACUACGAAUACCGAAGAAUGUUAUCACGGGAGACACACGGCGGGUGCUAACGUCCGUCGUGAAGAGGGAAACAACCCAGACCGCCAGCUAAGGUCCCAAAGUCAUGGUUAAGUGGGAAACGAUGUGGGAAGGCACAGACAGCCAGGAUGUUGGCUUAGAAGCAGCCAUCAUUUAAAGAAAGCGUAAUAGCUCACUGGUCGAGUCGGCCUGCGCGGAAGAUGUAACGGGGCUAAACCAUGCACCGAAGCUGCGGCAGCGACACGAUGUGUUGUUGGGUAGGGGAGCGUUCUGUAAGCCUGCGAAGGUGACCUGUGAGGGUUGCUGGAGGUAUCAGAAGUGCGAAUGCUGACAUAAGUAACGAUAAAGCGGGUGAAAAGCCCGCUCGCCGGAAGACCAAGGGUUCCUGUCCAACGUUAAUCGGGGCAGGGUGAGUCGACCCCUAAGGCGAGGCCGAAAGGCGUAGUCGAUGGGAAACAGGUUAAUAUUCCUGUACUUGGUGUUACUGCGAAGGGGGGACGGAGAAGGCUAUGUUAGCCGGGCGACGGUUGUCCCGGUUUAAGCAUGUAGGCUGGUUAUCCAGGCAAAUCCGGAUAAUCAAGGCUGAGGUGUGAUGACGAAGCACUACGGUGCUGAAGUAACAAAUGCCCUGCUUCCAGGAAAAGCCUCUAAGCAUCAGGUAACAUCAAAUCGUACCCCAAACCGACACAGGUGGUCAGGUAGAGAAUACCAAGGCGCUUGAGAGAACUCGGGUGAAGGAACUAGGCAAAAUGGUGCCGUAACUUCGGGAGAAGGCACGCUGGUGUGUAGGUGAAGCCCCUGCGGGUGGAGCUGAGACCAGUCGAAGAUACCAGCUGGCUGCAACUGUUUAUUAAAAACACAGCACUGUGCAAACACGAAAGUGGACGUAUACGGUGUGACGCCUGCCCGGUGCCGGAAGGUUAAUUGAUGGGGUUAUCCGUAAGGAGAAGCUCUUGAUCGAAGCCCCGGUAAACGGCGGCCGUAACUAUAACGGUCCUAAGGUAGCGAAAUUCCUUGUCGGGUAAGUUCCGACCUGCACGAAUGGCGUAAUGAUGGCCAGGCUGUCUCCACCCGAGACUCAGUGAAAUUGAACUCGCUGUGAAGAUGCAGUGUACCCGCGGCAAGACGGAAAGACCCCGUGAACCUUUACUAUAGCUUGACACUGAACAUUGAGCCUUGAUGUGUAGGAUAGGUGGGAGGCUUUGAAGCGUGGACGCCAGUCUGCGUGGAGCCAACCUUGAAAUACCACCCUUUAAUGUUUGAUGUUCUAACGUUGGCCCCUUAUCGGGGUUGCGGACAGUGUCUGGUGGGUAGUUUGACUGGGGCGGUCUCCUCCCAAAGCGUAACGGAGGAGCACGAAGGUUAGCUAAUCCUGGUCGGACAUCAGGAGGUUAGUGCAAUGGCAUAAGCUAGCUUGACUGCGAGCGUGACGGCGCGAGCAGGUGCGAAAGCAGGUCAUAGUGAUCCGGUGGUUCUGAAUGGAAGGGCCAUCGCUCAACGGAUAAAAGGUACUCCGGGGAUAACAGGCUGAUACCGCCCAAGAGUUCAUAUCGACGGCGGUGUUUGGCACCUCGAUGUCGGCUCAUCACAUCCUGGGGCUGAAGUAGGUCCCAAGGGUAUGGCUGUUCGCCAUUUAAAGUGGUACGCGAGCUGGGUUUAGAACGUCGUGAGACAGUUCGGUCCCUAUCUGCCGUGGGCGCUGGAGAAUUGAGGGGGGCUGCUCCUAGUACGAGAGGACCGGAGUGGACGCAUCACUGGUGUUCGGGUUGUCAUGCCAAUGGCACUGCCCGGUAGCUAAAUGCGGAAGAGAUAAGUGCUGAAAGCAUCUAAGCACGAAACUUGCCCCGAGAUGAGUUCUCCCUGAGACUUUAAGUCUCCUGAAGGAACGUUAAAGACGAUGACGUUGAUAGGCCGGGUGUGUAAGCGCAGCGAUGCGUUGAGCUAACCGGUACUAAUGAACCGUGAGGCUUAACCUU
rnacentral:rRNA from 1 species